CAACAGUAAUUAGGUGUGGCGGGUUUGAACUGAAGCUGAGCUGUCCUGAAAAAUAUAACAUCAAGAUAACUGAUGCAAAGUAUGGACGAACUAAUAAAAGGUUCUGCAGCGUUUGUGACAAAUGUUCGGUCCAAAACAUCAACUGCCAUUUACCCCAAACACUGGCCAUAGUGUCUGAAAGAUGUAAUGAGAAGAGGAGAUGCUCCAUACGAGUGGACUACAGCACGUUCCCUGAUCCAUGUCCUGACACGUACAAGUACCUGGUAGUCAAAUUUUGCUGCAUCCAAAGGUACUGUAUCGUUGGAAGCAGUGCAGUUGCAUACUUUUUAUUUUACUAAUCGGCUAUGUCUAAAUUGGUGGUCUCAAAUCCUGGAGGGCUGUUCCUUUGCAUAGUUUAGGUUCAACCAACUCACACCUGCUUAGCCGUUUUUAGUAGUCUUGAACACCUUGAUUGAUUGGAUCAGUUGUGUUUGAUUAGGGUUGGAGCAAAAGUUUGCUGAGCUGCGUCCCUCCAGGAAUCAAGUUUGAGACUUACAGUAUGGUCUAAAUUUAAUGGUUUCUCUUCUCUUGCAGCUCAGAGGACCCAUUGAUUUGAAUUCCUAAGCUUAAUUUUUGUCAGCAUCUCCUCCACAUUGGCUGCACUAAAAACAAGUCUUUAAGACUGUACUUGCAAAGAUUACUCAUGGGCCUUGUGUGUGUGUGUGUGUGUGUGUGUGUGUGUGUGUGUGUGUGAGAGAGAGAGAGAGAGACUGAGACUUUCAAUAAAUCCUUUUAAAAUGCAAACAUUCUGUUCUUGAGAGAAGUUGAUGCCCAUUUGUUUACCCACAGUACUGUUC